GAUGAAGAACGCAGCGAAAUGCGACAAGUAAUGUGAAUUGCAGAAUUCAGUGAAUCAUCGAGUCUUUGAACGCACAUUGCGCCCCCUGGUAUUCCGGGGGGCAUGCCUGUCCGAGCGUCAUUGCUGCCCUCAAGCACGCUUGUGUGUUGGGCCUCCGUCCUCCUCCCGGGGGACGGGCCCGAAAGGCAGCGGCGGCACCGCGUCCGGUCCUCGAGCGUAUGGGGCUUCGUCACCCGCUCUUGUAGGCCCGGCCGGCGCUUGCCGACACAUCAAUCUUUUUUCCAGGUUGACCUCGGAUCAGGUAGGGAUACCCGCUGAACUUAAGCAUAUCAAUAAGCGGAGGA
rnacentral:misc_RNA from 1 species